rnacentral:rRNA from 1 species
ACUCCUACGGGAGGCAGCAGUGGGGAAUCUUAGACAAUGGGGGCAACCCUGAUCUAGCCAUGCCGCGUGAGUGAUGAAGGCCUUAGGGUCGUAAAGCUCUUUCGCCAGGGAUGAUAAUGACAGUACCUGGUAAAGAAACCCCGCUAACAUCCGUGCCAGCAGCCGCGGUAAUACGGAGGGGUUAGCGUUGUUCGGAAUUACUGGGCGUAAAGCGCGCGUAGGCGGACUAGAAAGUUGGGGUGGAAAUACCGGGCCGUCAACCACUCGGAACUGCCUUCAAAACUCCUAGUCUAGAGUUCGAGAGAGGUGAGUGGAAUUCCAAGUGUAGAGGUGAAAUUCGUAGAUAUUCGGAGGAACACCAGUGGCGAAGGCGGCUCACUGGCUCGAUACUGACGCUGAGGUGCGAAAGUGUGGGGAGCAAG